CACGUAGUUAGCCGGUGCUUCUUUACCCAUUACCGUCACUCACGCUUCGUCACAGGCGAAAGCGGUUUACAACCCGAAGGCCGUCAUCCCGCACGCGGCGUUGCUGCAUCAGGCUUCCGCCCAUUGUGCAAUAUUCCCCACUGCUGCCUCCCGUAGGGGUCUGGGCCGUAUCUCAGUCCCAAUGUGGCCGGUCACCCUCUCAGGCCGGCUACCCGUCAAAGCCUUGGUAAGCCACUACCCCACCAACAAGCUGAUAAGCCGCGAGUCCAUCCCCAACCGCCGAAACUUUCCAACCCCACCAUGCAGCAGGAGCUCCUAUCCGGUAUUAGCCCCAGUUUCCUGAAGUUAUCCCAAAGUCAAGGGCAGGUUACUCACGUGUUACUCACCCGUUCGCCACUCGAGCACCCCACAAAAGCAGGGCCUUUCCGUUCGACUUGCAUGUGUUAAGCACGCCGCCAGCGUUCGUCCUGAGCCAGGAUCAAACUCU
rnacentral:rRNA from 1 species